rnacentral:rRNA from 1 species
CCUACGGGAGGCUGCAGUGAGGAAUAUUGGUCAAUGGACGCAAGUCUGAACCAGCCAUGCCGCGUGCAGGAAGAAGGCUCUAUGAGUUGUAAACUGCUUUUGUACGAGGGUAAAUCCCGAUACGUGUAUCGGGUUGAAAGUAUCGUACGAAUAAGCAUCGGCUAACUCCGUGCCAGCAGCCGCGGUAAUACGGAGGAUUCAAGCGUUAUCCGGAUUUAUUGGGUUUAAAGGGUGCGUAGGCGGUUCGAAAAGUUAGAGUGAAAAUCCCGGGGUUCAACACCGGCACUCCUUUGAAUAGGUCGGGGUAGAGUUUGGUUGCGGUAGGUGGAAUGGAUGGUGUAGCGGUGAAAUGCAUAGAGAUCAUACAGAACACCGAUUGCGAAGGCAGCUUACCAACCUACGACUGACGUUGAGGCACGAAAGCGUGGGGAGCAAACAGGAUUAGAUACCCCUGUAGUC